rnacentral:lncRNA from 1 species
ACUGACAGCCACGAUAACCAAUAAAAUGGAAAUGUGGGAAAAAUCCUUCGCGCCCCCUCCCAAUCAGAACACUUGCGGGCUGAGAGGCGCGGAUCUGCGCCGCGGGAACUUGGUCCGGCUGGGAGCGGAGCGGCGAUGAACACGGUCGGCUGCUCAGAGAAGGGCAAGCGAGUGACCGGUGACCGCGGGCGGGGGCCCCAGAGCCGCCGACCGCCACGACUUCUGCCUAGAGGCGGUAGUUUUUAUUUCCAAGAGUUAAGCGAAAGUGCUCAACUCGAAAGAUGGUUGAACUAGCAUAAGGAGAGACUUUACUAUAAGAAGGCAUUCUAACAAAGAAUAUACAUGCACAUCUGACACAAUAACCAAAACGAAUAGAAGAAAUCCCUCAAGGAUGUAAAGCGAAUGGAAAAGCAUACUGACUCCUCAUGGUAUAUUUUAUUAGAAGCAUCUAGGAGGCAUUGCUUUUUAAGAAAGGAAAUAUAGAUGACAAUGCUGAACAAUGUUUAGUUCAGGACUGAAAGUUCAUCUGAAGUAUGAGAAAUAUGUUAGCCUCCAUUCGGAAGAAGAUAAUCCUAAGAGAUGAAAGCAACUGUUAGUGCACAUUAGUAAAUGUUUUGGAACCAAAGUCCAUAAUUUUGAUCUGAGAUAUAAUGUAAUAAGAACCCACGAUAUAGCUUUUGUAAUCAAAAGGAAGAUUUAUACACAGAAUUGGGUUAGAAGAUGGUGUUGGAAUGAGGGGGAAAGGUUUGGAAGAAACAUGUGCUAGUCAAGAUAAUAAAAGGCUGAUGCCAGAAAUUGUGCAAAUUAUUCCAUGAGAUGAUAAAAAAGUAGUAAGGACUUUUUCAAAUGACAAAUUAGAAAAGGGCUAGCAUUUGGCACUAGAUUGUUUUGAAAUAAUAAAAGACAACAGGCAAAGAUAAUUGAAGGACAAAGAUAACAUGAUGAUAUAUUCUGUUAA